rnacentral:rRNA from 1 species
UACGUAGGGGGCUAGCGUUGUCCGGAAUCAUUGGGCGUAAAGAGCGUGUAGGCGGUCCGGUAAGUCCGCUGUGAAAGUCGGGGGCUCAACCCUCGAAUGCCGGUGGAUACUGUCGGGCUAGAGUACGGAAGAGGCGAGUGGAAUUCCUGGUGUAGCGGUGAAAUGCGCAGAUAUCAGGAGGAACACCGAUGGCGAAGGCAGGUCUCUGGGCUGACACUGACGCUCAUGCACGAAAGCGUGGGGAGCAAACAGG